AUUUCAUUUCCUCCCAAAAGGCCAAAACACAUUGCCGCCCUCCCUCUAUAUCUUUUAGAAAAUAUUAUGAUUGUCUGUUGUGUGUUUCUGAUUGUCUUCUGUAAUUAUGAUGAUUAAUGUGUUAAUUCUGGCACUCUUUUUGUCAAGAAUCGAAGCAUCGACACGAGAUUUCGUCACCAUUUUCGUUUGGAUCUUGUUCCAUUCUGCUGUCAGUCAACGAUGCUAGCAAAAAUGGAGCUGAAAAGCCAGACUACGCUGUGGAUUUAAAUGCCAAGAUUUUCGAUUUUGUGCUUAAGGAGACCCACACCACUUAUGCCAUUGUUGAAUUUUUUGCCCACUGGUCAGUUACUUUUUCUCUUUUCUUGUUUUUUCUUUAAAGAAUCCAUUUUUGUAAUUUGAUAGAUAUAUCUGUUUCUGUUUUUCAAAUGAAGAUCUCUUUUUGAUGAAUUAAAAAGAUGUGAAAUGAAUGGCUUUGUAGUUUGUUUGGUGAAAGAUUAGCAUAUAUUAUAGAUUUAAAAAUCCUUUACCUUUAAAGGCGCUUAAACAGUUUAGGAUGGAUAAAUUUUUCCAAUCGCAUGAUUUAAUUAGCUUUUAGUUAAAGUAUACUUGGGAUAAUAAUUUCCUUGAACUACUGAUGCUGGGUACUCUAUCACCCCCCCCCCCCCAUUGUCUUAUAAAUAAUAAUUUCUGAGAAAGUUAUGUCAACUAGUGUAUAUUUUGAGUGGAAAACAUCCUAUGAUUUAUAACUACGAUACACAGAUAUUCGUGUCACAAGACAGUUUUACUUGGGUUACCAGAAUUAUUAUUAAAAAGUGAAAAUAAUUAUUAAAAUAAAAUGAUAUGUAUUUUUUAAUAGUUUAAUUCAAAUUAGCGACGGAAAUAGUGACCGAAAUCCGUGGGUAAUCAUCAAUUGAGAGAAUCUAUAGGUAAUUUGUGACGAAAAAAUUUGUUGCUAAUUAGUGACGGAAAUAGUCGUUGGUAAACACCGACGGCUUCUUAUGUCGCUAAAUCACUGACAACCUAGAUAAUUCAUCGCUAAAAUUAGUGUCGGGGGUAUUACCGACAGAAUUUCCAACGGAUCAAUUCCGUUUGUGAAAGUCGUUAGUGACGGAAUUUAAAGCAUCCAAGACUGUUGUAAGAAGAUACGGAUGUGAAUGUGGAUUCCUUUAGUGCAAAAGUUAUAUGUGAAUUAUCUUAGAAUAAUAGGAUAAAUUUGGACGAAAGUCAUAAGUUGGAGGUCGGUUUGCUUGAAUAGUUGUUUGAUAAGAGACAUUGCACUAAUCAAAGCAUAUAUUUUUUUUUGCAAUUUGAAACUUCUCUUUGAAACCUUUACGAUUUGAAUAACUAAGCUUGUAAGGGUAUCUAAAAAUUUGGCGCCUUAAAGUCAUUUGAUUUGUGAGUUAUCAUCUUAAAGCUCAAUACAAGGGUUGUUUAUAAAGCAAUUAGAGGAAAUUGCGCAAAAAAUAAUAAUAAUAAUAAAAAAAUAAAUAAAAAAUCGCUUUGAAGCCUUUUUGACUUAUGUUAUUAAGUUUUUAAGGAUGUUUAAAAUCUGGUGCCCUAAAAUGUAGAAAGGAGUAUCUUUGGCGAAAGAAAGAGGCCUUUAAGAGUUAUAGAUGCCCAAGUCUAGGUCUCCAAUCAUAAAAAAUGCAUCUUGCUUAGGUUGAAGCAAAUAUCAGCAUAGUAAUUAUUCUUAUACCACUAUUAUAUUAGGUAUCCCAGUCUCAAAAAUGUUCGGAGAUAUUGUGUUGAUCAAAAGCCAUUCUCUUUUACACCUUUUUUUUUUUUUUUUUUUUUGAUAUUUCUGAGUGGACUUUUCUUUAGUUGAAUGAGAUAUGCAUUGCAAGUUAUUCUCUCGUUUCUAGAGCCUUUACCAAUAAGGGUCUCUGCCUCUAUAUGUUUCAAUCUCAUACCUUCACUUCUUGCCUUUAGGUUUUAUCAACUUGCCUGCUUAUGAGCUCUUCCUCAGGUUAUGUCACUCGAGCAAUAAGAGCUCUGUGCUAGAGCUAAAAAAGGAUGGCAUCUAUCCAUUGGAUUGUUUUACCCCUUUUUAAUUCAUUGGUUUACCCAGUCAGGAUAUUUUUCAGUACCUCGUUCUCAUAUAUUUGCUUGUGCAUCUUCUCUUGGGUAUGAUACAUUAAAACUCCAGUCUAAGUGAAAAUAGUUGAAAUAGAUUACAAUCCCAAAUUUCCUACAGCCAUGGGUUGACGUUCUUGACCUUCCAUCUCCUCAUUGGACUUGUGGGUUUUAUCUUAGGCUUUAUCACGAUUUUGCAGCAGAAUUGGGUUGUAAACAUAAAUACAAUAAGCCCCUGUCAGUAUCUGUGAUUUGGGAUAGGUCUAGAAUUGCUAGCAAUGGAGAGUUGGUUUCUGACGGAGGGCAAAGAAGGUACUGAGUGAUGGACAUUGGAGGCAUACCAACCCACUUUGGAUCCACGGCUUGACAGGCCUUGUGGAAGACUUGGUUUCUCUCUGAUCAUGGAGGCCUUCUAUAGUAAUCACCAAAGUCUCUGCCUGAUACACUUUUAUAUUCAUGCAUAACACAGAUAUAUAGAAAAUUUGAAAUGAAUGUGCACUGAUUUAUGGAAAUGUUUGGACGUUUUGUGUUUGUUUGUUUUAUUUAAGUAGA
rnacentral:lncRNA from 1 species